GGGCGGCUAGCUCAGCUGGUAGAGCAAGCGACUCUUAAUCGCUGGGUCCGGGGUUCGAGUCCCCGGCCGCCCA
rnacentral:tRNA from 1 species